rnacentral:rRNA from 1 species
ACUCCUACGGGAGGCAGCAGUGGGGAAUAUUGCACAAUGGGGGAAACCCUGAUGCAGCCAUGCCGCGUGUGUGAAGAAGGCCUUCGGGUUGUAAAGCACUUUCAGUAGGGAGGAAGGUAGUGUAGUUAACACCUGCAUUAUUUGACGUUACCUACAGAAGAAGCACCGGCUAACUCCGUGCCAGCAGCCGCGGUAAUACGGAGGGUGCGAGCGUUAAUCGGAAUUACGUGGGCGUAAAGCGCAUGCAGGCGGCCUGUUAAGUCAGAUGUGAAAGCCCGGGGUCUUAACCGUCGGAAUUGCAUUUGAAACUGGCAGGCUAGAGUCUUGUAGAGGGGUUAGAAUUUCAGGUGUAGCGGUGAAAUGCGUAGAGAUCUGAAGGAAUACCGAGUGGCGAAGGCGGCCCCCUGGACAAAGACUGACGCUCAGAUGCGAAAGCGUGGGAGCAAACAGGAUUAGAGUACCCCUGGUAGACUGUCA